UGAUUAAGCCAUGCGAGUCGAGAGGGUUCAGACCCUCGGCGGACUGCUCAGUAACACGUGGAUAACCUGCCCUAAGGUGGAGCAUAACCCCGGGAAACUGGGGAUAAUACUCCAUAGAUUAGAGACACUGGAAUGUUCUUUAGUCGAAAGUUCUGGCGCCUUAGGAUGGAUCUGCGGUCGAUUAGGUUGUUGUUGGGGUAACGGCCCAACAAGCCUGUAAUCGAUACGGGUUGUGGGAGCAAGAGCCCGGAGAUGGAAUCUGAGACACGAUUCCAGGCCCUACGGGGCGCAGCAGGCGCGAAAACUUUACAAUGCAGGAAACUGUGAUAAGGGAACUCCGAGUGCCCGUAUACGCGGGCUGUCCAGGUGUUUAAAAAUCAUCUGAAGAAAGGGCCGGGCAAGACCGGUGCCAGCCGCCGCGGUAAUACCGGCGGCUCGAGUGGUGGCCACUAUUAUUGGGCUUAAAGCGUCCGUAGCUGGACCGAUAAGUCUCUUGGGAAAUCCGCCGGCUCAACCGGCGGGCGUCUAAGGGAUACUGUUAGUCUAGGGACCGGGAGAGGUGAGAGGUACUCCGGGGGUAGGAGUGAAAUCCUGUAAUCCCCGGGGGACCACCGAUGGCGAAGGCAUCUCACCAGAACGGCUCCGACAGUGAGGGACGAAAGCUGGGGGAGCGAACCGGAUUAGAUACCCGGGUAGUCCCAGCCGUAAACUAUGCGCGUUAGGUGUACUGGUGACCACGAGUCACCGGGGUGCCGAAGGGAAACCGUGAAACGUGCCGCCUGGGAAGUACGGUCGCAAGGCUGAAACUUAAAGGAAUUGGCGGGGGAGCA
rnacentral:rRNA from 1 species